UGGGGAAUAUUGCACAAUGGGGGAAACCCUGAUGCAGCGACGCCGCGUGAGUGAUGAAGGCCUUCGGGUCGUAAAGCUCUGUCGUAUGGGACUAACAAAAUGAAGGUACCAUGCAAGAAAGGAUCGGCUAACUUCGUGCCAGCAGCCGCGGUAAGACGAGGGAUCCUAGCGUUGUUCGGAAUUAUUGGGCGUAAAGCGGGUGUAGGCGGACUUAUAAGUCAGGUGUGAAAUCCCAGGGCUCAACCCUGGAAGUGCACUUGAUACUGCAAGUCUUGAGUGUGGUAGAGGCUAUUAGAAUUCCUGGUGUAGUGGUGAAAUACGUAGAUAUCAGGAGGAAUACCGGAGGCGAAGGCGGAUAGCUGGGCCAACACUGACGCUGAGACCCGAAAGCGUGGGGAUCAAACAGGAUUAGAUACCCUAGUAGUCCCUGAGCGGGCUGGCAAGGCGCAU
rnacentral:rRNA from 1 species